UACGGAGGGGGCUAGCGUUGUUCGGAAUUACUGGGCGUAAAGCGCACGUAGGCGGCUUUGUAAGUCAGAGGUGAAAGCCCAGGGCUUAACUCUGGAAUUGCCUUUAAGACUGCAUCGCUAGAAUCGUGGAGAGGUGAGUGGAAUUCCGAGUGUAGAGGUGAAAUUCGUAGAUAUUCGGAAGAACACCAGUGGCGAAGGCGACUCACUGGACAGGUAUUGACGCUGAGGUGCGAAAGCGUGGGGAGCAAACAGG
rnacentral:rRNA from 1 species